CCCAGACUCCUACGGGAGGCAGCAGUGGGGAAUAUUGGGCAAUGGGCGCAAGCCUGACCCAGCAACGCCGCGUGAAGGAAGAAGGCUUUCGGGUUGUAAACUUCUUUUAAGAGGGAAGAGCAGAAGACGGUACCUGACUAAGAAGCCCCGGCUAACUACGUGCCAGCAGCCGCGGUAAUACGUAGGGGGCGAGCGUUAUCCGGAUUUACUGGGUGUAAAGGGAGCGUAGACGGCCAUGCAAGCUCGGUGUGAAAGGUGCGGGCACAACCCGCAGACUGCACUGAGAACUGUAUGGCUGGAGUGCCGGAGGGGCAGGCGGAAUUCCUGGUGUAGCGGUGAAAUGCGUAGAUAUCAGGAGGAACACCGAUGGCGAAGGCGGCCUGCUGGACGGCGACUGACGUUGAGGCUCGAAAGCGUGGGGAGCGAACAGGAUUAGAUACCCUAGUA
rnacentral:rRNA from 1 species